rnacentral:rRNA from 1 species
AACGAACGCUGGCGGCAUGCCUAACACAUGCAAGUCGAACGAGACCUUCGGGUCUAGUGGCGCACGGGUGCGUAACGCGUGGGAACCUGCCCUUAGGUUCGGAAUAACUCCCCGAAAGGGGUGCUAAUACCGGAUAAUGUCUUUGGACCAAAGAUUUAUCGCCUUUGGAUGGGCCCUCGUUGGAUUAGCUGGUUGGUAGGGUAAAAGCCUACCAAGGCGACGAUCCAUAGCUGGUCUGAGAGGCUGAUCAGCCACACUGGGACUGAGACACGGCCCAGACUCCUACGGGAGGCAGCAGUGGGGAAUAUUGGACAAUGGGCGAAAGCAUGAUCCAGCAAUGCCGCGUGAGUGAUGAAGGCCUUAGGGUUGUAAAGCUCUUUUACCCGGGAUGAUAAUGACAGUACCGGGAGAAUAAGCUCCGGCUAACUCCGUG